rnacentral:rRNA from 1 species
GGGCCCGCACAAGCGGUGGAGUAUGUGGUUUAAUUCGAUGCAACGCGAAGAACCUUACCAGGGUUUGACAUCCUGCGAAUCUCUUGGAAACAGGAGAGUGCCUUCGGGAACGCAGUGACAGGUGGUGCAUGGCUGUCGUCAGCUCGUGUCGUGAGAUGUUGGGUUAAGUCCCGCAACGAGCGCAACCCACGUCUUUAGUUGCCAGCAUUUAGUUGGGCACUUUAAAAGAACUGCCAGUGAUAAGCUGGAGGAAGGUGUGGAUGACGUCAAGUCAUCAUGCCCCUUACAUCCUGGGCUACACACGUACUACAAUGCUACGGACAAAGGGCAGCAAGUUCGCGAGGACAAGCAAAUCCCAUAAACCGUGGCUCAGUUCAGAUCGUAGGCUGCAACUCGCCUACGUGAAGGCGGAAUCGCUAGUAAUCGC